rnacentral:tRNA from 1 species
GACCCGGUAGCUCAGUUGGAUAGAGCGACUGCCUCCUAAGCAGUAGGUCGCAGGUUCGAUUCCUGUUCGGGUCA